rnacentral:rRNA from 1 species
UACGUAGGGUCCGAGCGUUGUCCGGAAUUAUUGGGCGUAAAGGGCUCGUAGGCGGUUCGUCACGUCGGGAGUGAAAACUCGGGGCUUAACCCCGAGCCUGCUUCCGAUACGGGCAGACUAGAGGUAGGCAGGGGAGAGCGGAACUCCUGGUGUAGCGGUGAAAUGCGCAGAUAUCAGGAGGAACACCGGUGGCGAAGGCGGCACUCUGGGCCGGUACUGACGCUGAGGAGCGAAAGCGUGGGGAGCGAACAGG